AGUGGAUCGGCUAGACCUUCUCCUACACAAAAAUGGCACCAUUACGACUCCAUGGAGUUUCUGCGCGAUCUGUGCCUUGUCAAGAAGGGAAAAGCUUCAAAUAUUGACACUGAUGAUGACACUUCAAGUAUUGGCGAAUCAAUAAAUAAUGCAACUGGCGAUGGCAAUAAUGAUGAAGAGUUAGAAGUAUUAGGUGCGACCUAAAAAAAAAAAAAAAAUAUGGGACAGCAGCCCAGUGCACUGGAAAGGAUUGCCGAUUCGCUCUGUCAACCACCAACUCCAUUUGUAAUACCAUCAGC